ACGUUAGGGUGUCUGGUUCUAAAUCAUUCAGCGCCUCAACGUUCUCUUUCUCUCUCCUCACGACUCUAUGAGCCUCCUCGGUUCUUCUUCUCCUGCAGAUCUGCUCUGCAUGGAUCGUUUUCUCUCUCUGGUUCUUUCAAAUUCGCGUAGAUCGCUUUGUUGUCUACGUGUUGAUGGUGGUUUGAUGUUGUGAGGAUGGUUUGAGCUGAUGUUGAAUAGCUGGUUUGACCAGCUCGAGCUUGUACUCUGCGUUCUUCGAUUCAGAUUUACAGAGAUGGCGACGGAGCUCUUAUGGAAUUUCAAGAGGUUUCAAGCCCAACGGUUCUGAGCUGGAUGCAGAUCUGAUGCUUAUGGCUGCUGAAGCUGGACCAACAGAUGUAAUUGAUAUUCGAUUCGAUGGGCAUAUUUGUAAUUUGAAGAGGGAAGCUGAAGUAUUCGGGGGUUUGGGUGUGGUUGAAUUCCGGAUGUAUAAGAUAUCGGGACGAAAGGCUCGGUGGAAGGGCUGAGUCCUGGACCGAUCUUUGUCAUCCGACCUUUGCCAUGACAGGUGCGCUUGCAUGGCAGGUCAUAAAAAUACCUCAAUAAAAAAACAAACGAUUUUUUGGUUUUGAGGGGAGACAGCAUGGGGGUUUGCCCAGGGUCUCCCCUCUGGUGUGUGUGCGCUCUGUGUCCUCCUUUCUCUUUGUUCUCUGUUUUUUUUGUUGCUCUCUUCUCCAUGCACACCAGUCGAGCACGGAUCGUGGACAUCGACAACAACGAAAUCUCGCGCCUAAAGGUAUUAUCUGCCCAAGUCUAUAUUCUUUUAGUUAAUAUUCAUCAUGGUACCCAGAUCUGCAAAUUUCACACCAAAUUCACACGAACACCUAUCUAAACAUGGUACUUAAAUCUGCAGCUACACGAUUAAUUAGUUUUAUGCGGUUUUAUUUAUCUUAAUUAACAAGGGAUUAAGCUUAUUGGGUUAUAUUAAGCAUAACUGGGGACUUGAUAGGGCUUGGUAAUAAUUUUUGUUUACAGUUUGGUAAUUGUGGAUUUCUUCAAACUACCCCACUGAUUUUGAAGGUAAUCGGGUUCGAGUUUACAUGGCUAUAUCGAUGUAGGAUACUAGUUACAUAGUAUUAACAGCAAACCGAGUAUUUUGAACCAUUAUAACCUCAAAGUAUACACCCGUAUUUUACUAAAUCCAAUACUAAUAUUUUUGGUAAGUUCCGUGUACUGAUAUUCAUUUAUUAUUCUAAAAUACUGUAAAUCAGAAGUAGUGGUAUGCUCGUCCAGAUCCCAAAUCCCUCAUCCUACCAUGCCACUCAUUUAAAAUGCCUUGCGUUACGUAUUUCGUCACAGAUUCCCAACACCUUUGCAACAUUUAUAAUUACUUAUGUUACUGCAGCUAAUUACAUGAGUUGAAAUGAAAUUUUAUGGUGUCUCGUGAGCUAUUUUAAAUAAUUAUUCAUUAUAAUCUGGAUUACAGUUUAUGGUAUGUUAUAUCUUGGGAUCUCAAAAGAUAUGGAUCCCCUGUAAUAUUCUGUAAUUUUAUAUCAUUUGGCUCCUUUUUCGUUGAGCCGUGGAUUGUAUUCCCAGUAGUUUGUUCUUAGGAGUGACUACUGGAAGCUUUCUUCGCUCUGGAGAUUGAACAAGACUUCUACCGGAUUGAAGCAGUGAGGUCGUGGGAAGGUCCAAGUCGUCUGUUGUAUGCACUCUCGUUCUGGAGAUUAUAAGGUGAAAAAUGACUGUACACCUGAAGGUUCAAUUUCUUAUGGCUUUGGAAGUUAUUCGAAGCCUUGAUUAGCAGUGUCCUACAUUUUAUUUCACCUUCAAGUUAUUGAAGUCAUUACUAUCAGCGUUUUCAAUUAUUUGACCUCAUUAUGUAUAUUUCAAUUUCAUGAUUUGUUCUGUUGAAUUUAUGCUAUUAUGAUGAUGUCUUCGGUCGAAUAAUGAAUUACUUCUGUUAAUCUAAAUCAUUGAAUCUCAAUUGUGUUUGUGGAUUGUGCAUAUGGAUGACUUAUUAUUGAGAUGAAAAAUUUAGGAUCAUGCAGAAUGGUGGAUGGGAUUUGAGGACAUGUUUUGGUUUGAAAAUGCAGGAAUGGUUCUUUUGAUUUUAUUAACUUUAUUUUGAGAACUGCAUGUAAUUAUGUGUGUAGGUUAUGUGGGAUCUUCAGUAGUUGUGGUGUAGUAUCCAUCUUCUCAUAUUAGUAGACUCUGGAAUGUUGUUUUAUAUGAAAAAAACACUUUAUUCUUAUAAUUUCAAAUCAGGAGGAGACUGUUCCAUGUUAUAAGUCGAUGUUCAUUUGUGGUUUUUGAAGAAAGGCUCUAUAUUGGGUUCCCUAUUCGAACCAGUAAUUUUAUUCUUCCAAGUGUCUCACCGCGGUUUUUUGUGAAUUGCUGGGUAUUUUUUGAACUUUGUUUCGUAAAAAUUUGUUAAGAGUUGACGAGGAGAAUGAAAACAGAGCUGUUUUAGAUUGGAAAACAUGUUAAACCCGUAAGAAACCCAGUAAACCUAAUUUCCACAAUCUAGUCUCUUGGUGAUGACCUGUGACUCUCGUCGUAAAACGUAAGCCAUAUUGGAACGGUGAGUUUCUGGUUUGGCGAUGUGAUUUUACCCGUUAUAGUGGAAGAUGCAUAGAUGUGGGUAAUUUGAGAUCAAGGUCUGUAAGCUCAAAAAUGGUAGAGCGCUCGGGUCCAUAGUUGGGCUUUGGGAGGAUGGUGGUUCGAAUCCACCCAGAUCUACAAUAACAAUACCAUUUAAUAAUGAACACAUUACUUUUUAUGAUCAAACUAUGACUUGGUGUGCCAUCAUCGUUCAUGUGUUGUUGGUUUUAUGUUUUCAUUACUCUUUAACCUCAUAUAGCUGUCAGGCAACCAAAAAAGCCCAAGGCCGGCAGCAACAGCAAACAACUGGCGGCAAAGUAGAACAAGGACCGAGGCAGGCAGCCGAAGCUGAGAGACAAAACGACACAGCCAAAAGCGAGCCAAGCAAGCAACAGUAGGCACCCAUAAUCUAAUUAUUAUUAACGAUAAAUGUCGGGUCAUUGUCUCCUGACUAAUACAUGAUUAGUGACAUACCUUUCCAUUGAAGGAAUCUUGAGGACUAUGUAGAUAUUUAUUUGUGUUUGAUUUUAAUGUCGCUUGCAUAAAAAAAAAUUUGUUUUACGUUAAAGAAACCUAGUAUGAUUUUGUUCUUCAUUUUAUGUAUCUAAAUCUAAAGGUUGUGACCUAUGAAAUUUGAUGUUAAUGCGUGCAACUAGACCGGGGAUGCCCUAUUUGAAUACUAGUUAUAUGGUUUUAUGUCGGUUACCGAUUUGUUAAAGGAAAAAAGAAUAAGUUGGGCCUAAAACACCAGCCCAAUUCUCGUUUUUCCGGGCCGUAGUCUCUUUAUCUUUUUUCUUAGGUCCGGCCCGGUUAAAAUUAUUCAAGGACUGUAAUUUCGAGCUUGGGCUGUUCCAAAUUCCGAAAUGUCUAGAAGGAAAUAUAGUAAUUGGCGCGAGGGAAACCUAAUUAUAGUUAUGACCCAGCUGUCAAGGCGGCAAAAUUAACGUGUCGUGGUUGAUACGGUCAAAAACAGUAACGUGGAAAAUUAUACCACCGCUCUAACCACCCACCCACCCACGUUAUAACAUUCCAGCCGUCGAUCUUAAAGAUAAGGGCGCAAUCGCAGCCGUCCAUCGCAUUUAUACUAUUAUAAAAGUAGGUUAGGUUUGGUUGGAUCCAAACCAUUCAACGUCUCAACGUUAUCUCUCUCCUCUUUCUCUUCACAUCUCUAUGCGCCUCAAUGGUUCUUCUCCUGCAGAUCUGUUCUGCAAGGAUUGUUUUCUCUUACUUUGUGUCGGAUUCGCGUAGGUCUUAUCGAGAUCUACGUUUUCAUGGUGAUUUGAGGCUGUGAAGAUGUUUUGAGCUGCUGGUUCAUAGCUGGUUUUACCAGCUCGAGCUCGUCUUCUUCGUGCUUUGGCUCAGAUUUACAGGUUUUGAUUGAUGAUGAUGGAGUUCAUAGCAAGUCGUCGGAGAUUCCAAGAUUUGACCGUUUUGUGCCAAAUCCGACGUCGUUUCAGCUGCAGAUCUGGUUCUUCUGGAGUCUAGCGUAUGUUUAUUCGAUAUUCGAAUUGAAUAAUUGUAAUUUGAUGAUCGGGAAGGUCAAAGCUGGGGUGUUUAGGGAUGAUUGGGUUGUGCAACGGAUGUAUAAGAUGUCGGGACGAAAGGCUCAGAGGGAGGGUCUGUGUCCUGGACCGAUCUUUGUCAUCCGACCUUUGCCAUGACAGGUGCGCUUGCAUGGCAGGUCACAAAAAUACCUUAAUAAAAAAACAGAAACGAUUUUUUGGUUUGGAGGGGAGAUUGCAUGGGGUUUUGCCCAGGGUCUCUCCCUCUGUUGUGUGGUGUGUGAUCUGUGUCGUCCUCUCUUUACUCUGUUUUAUUUUUCGCUCUCCUGCUCAUCCAAGCAUGCUAGAUCGUGGACAGCAACGACGACCAAAUCUCAGCCGCCCAAGGUAUUAUCUGCCCAAUUCUAUUUCAAUUGAUAUGCAUCCAUCUAAUUCUAGUACUGAAAUCUGCCACUUGCACAGCCAACUCACGAUCAUUAUUUAAAUUGACAUUCAUCUAAUUUAAUCAUGACUAAUUCACAACCCUCAUGUACAAUUAAUUAGUCUUAUGCUCGUAGUUAUGGCGCUGCUUUGAAUUGACAUUGGAUUAAGCUUUUUAUUAUUAUUGUGUAUAAUCCGAUAUAUUUGGUAACCUAAAAUUUAUUAUAUAGAGUAAUGUUUUCUAGAUAAAUGGGUUUCAAGUUUCUGCAACCAUAGAAAAAAUAAUUUUUUUUGUAAUUAUGAAACAUAUGAAAAUGUGGAAUUAUGAAACAGAAAUUUGGACUUAAAAGUCUUUUGAAUUGUUUGGUAAUUUGGCUAAUCAUAAUAUUGUGGGGAAGUUUCAUUUUGUUUACAGUAAUCCAUUUUUAUAUGCUAUCAUGUGCUAUAAAACAAGGUCCUAUGCGCGCCCAAAUCUCACAUCCCCACCAUUCACUUAUUCAAUUCAUCAUGCAAUAUUUCGCAAUCCAUACUUAUAAAACCAAAUGCCAAUACAUCUGCUCCAAUUCUUGUCUUUAUUUUACUACAAUUCUUGUUUGAGCUGAAAUGAGAUUGUGUGGUGGUUGAGUUUUCCUAUUUAUAAUUUUAUGGGUAUGCACUUUAAAUUGUGGUAUAUUCUGGGAUCUCAAAAUUUAUAGAUCCUUUGUAAUAAUAUGUAAUUAUACUUGCUUUUGGCUGAUAUUGCCUCUAGCAAUGGAUUGUAUUCCCAUUAUAGAUGGUUUGUAGGAGUAUGGCUGCUGGAAGCAAUUUCCUCAAUGAAGCCUGAAUGUUUCUACUCGUUUAUAAACCAAUCAAGACUCUUCUCAAUUACAAGCUGUUUGGUCGCGGGAAGGUUCAAGUUUUGUUAGUCUGCAAUCACUUUCUGGAAAUCUUGAGGUGAAAAUUGAAUUGAGUUGAGCUUCGCAUUGCCUUUGUUUUUAGACUUAUUGCUAUUAUUCAGAAGUACUUUACUUGAGGUGAAAAUUGAAUUUGAGUUGAGCUUCGAAUUGCCUUUGUUUUUAAAGUUAUUACUAUUAUUCAGAAUAUAGUUGUCCUUCAUUAAUCGAGUUAUUUCAAGGAUUAUUUCAAA